rnacentral:rRNA from 1 species
AUUGAACGCUGGCGGCAGGCCUAACACAUGCAAGUCGAACGGUAACAGGAAGCAGCUUGCUGCUUUGCUGACGAGUGGCGGACGGGUGAGUAAUGUCUGGGAAACUGCCUGAUGGAGGGGGAUAACUACUGGAAACGGUGGCUAAUACCGCAUAACGUCGCAAGACCAAAGAGGGGGACCUUCGGGCCUCUUGCCAUCAGAUGUGCCCAGAUGGGAUUAGCUUGUUGGUGAGGUAACGGCUCACCAAGGCGACGAUCCCUAGCUGGUCUGAGAGGAUGACCAGCCACACUGGAACUGAGACACGGUCCAGACUCCUACGGGAGGCAGCAGUGGGGAAUAUUGCACAAUGGGCGCAAGCCUGAUGCAGCCAUGCCGCGUGUAUGAAGAAGGCCUUCGGGUUGUAAAGUACUUUCAGCGGGGAGGAAGGUGUUGUGGUUAAUAACCGCAGCAAUUGACGUUACCCGCAGAAGAAGCACCGGCUAACUCCGUGCCAGCAGCCGCGGUAAUACGGAGGGUGCAAGCGUUAAUCGGAAUUACUGGGCGUAAAGCGCACGCAGGCGGUCUGUCAAGUCGGAUGUGAAAUCCCCGGGCUCAACCUGGGAACUGCAUUCGAAACUGGCAGGCUUGAGUCUUGUAGAGGGGGGUAGAAUUCCAGGUGUAGCGGUGAAAUGCGUAGAGAUCUGGAGGAAUACCGGUGGCGAAGGCGGCCCCCUGGACAAAGACUGACGCUCAGGUGCGAAAGCGUGGGGAGCAAACAGGAUUAGAUACCCUGGUAGUCCACGCCGUAAACGAUGUCUACUUGGAGGUUGUGCCCUUGAGGCGUGGCUUCCGGAGCUAACGCGUUAAGUAGACCGCCUGGGGAGUACGGCCGCAAGGUUAAAACUCAAAUGAAUUGACGGGGGCCCGCACAAGCGGUGGAGCAUGUGGUUUAAUUCGAUGCAACGCGAAGAACCUUACCUGGUCUUGACAUCCACAGAACUUUCCAGAGAUGGAUUGGUGCCUUCGGGAACUGUGAGACAGGUGCUGCAUGGCUGUCGUCAGCUCGUGUUGUGAAAUGUUGGGUUAAGUCCCGCAACGAGCGCAACCCUUAUCCUUUGUUGCCAGCGGUCCGGCCGGGAACUCAAAGGAGACUGCCAGUGAUAAACUGGAGGAAGGUGGGGAUGACGUCAAGUCAUCAUGGCCCUUACGACCAGGGCUACACACGUGCUACAAUGGCGCAUACAAAGAGAAGCGACCUCGCGAGAGCAAGCGGACCUCAUAAAGUGCGUCGUAGUCCGGAUUGGAGUCUGCAACUCGACUCCAUGAAGUCGGAAUCGCUAGUAAUCGUGGAUCAGAAUGCCACGGUGAAUACGUUCCCGGGCCUUGUACACACCGCCCGUCACACCAUGGGAGUGGGUUGCAAAAGAAGUAGGUAGCUUAACCUUCGGGGGGGCGCUUACCACUUUGUGAUUCAUGACUGGGGUGAAGUCGUAACAAGGUAACCGUAGGGGAACCUGCGGUUGGAUCACCUCCUUA